CAGGCAGAUCUCUAUGAGUUCGAGGCCAGCCUGCAGAGUGAGUUCCAGAGCAGCCAGAGCUACACAGAGAAACCCUGUCUCAAAAAG
rnacentral:miRNA from 1 species